UUUUUAAUGGUUGGUCUUUCCACAAAGGACAUGCCAGUGACCAAAGCCGAUUCAAUAGAUGUUUUAUGUGAUUAUAUCAUGGCAAUAGAAGACGAUACGACACUAGAGAGAACAUGGGUGCGAAGUUUCAAUCCUUUUAAGAUAGAAAUAUCUGUCAAAGACCUGCAAAACAUAUUAACGAUAAAUCAAGAUAUGAUUAUAAGAUGUUUUGACAUGGCUGUUCGGCUGCUUGCCAAUAAAGAGUCACGUAGGCCGAAAGAAGAAAUCAUAAAUAAUAGAAAGCAUUAUAUGGACAUGCGUUUUUGGAGAAUGGUUGGUUAUGGUAAACUUCCAAAGUACCAUC